rnacentral:rRNA from 1 species
UACGAAGGUGCAAACGUUGCUCGGAAUUAUUGGGUGCGUAAAAGGCGCACGUAGGCGGCUUGGCAAGUCGGAUGUGAAAUCCCUCGGCUCAACCAAGGAAGUGCAUCCGAAACUGCUGAGCUUGAGUAGCUUAAGAGGAUCGCGGAAUUCCGGUGUAGAGGUGAAAUUCGUAGAUAUCGGGAGGAACACCAGUGGCGAAGGCGGGUCUCUGGGCCGAUACUGACGCUGAGG